UACAGAGGUCCCGAGCGUUGUUCGGAUUCACUGGGCGUAAAGGGUGCGCAGGUGGGUUGGUAAGUUUGAUGUGAAAGCCCCGGGCUUAACCCGGGAAUGGCAUUGAAUACUACUGAUCUGGAGGAUUGGAGGGGGGACUGGAAUUCUUGGUGUAGCAGUGAAAUGCGUAGAUAUCAAGAGGAACACCAGUGGCGAAGGCGAGUCCCUGGACAAUACCUGACACUGAGGCACGAAAGCCGGGGGAGCAAACAGG
rnacentral:rRNA from 1 species